UACGGGGGGGGCAAGCGUUGUUCGGAAUUACUGGGCGUAAAGGGUUUGUAGGUGGCUUGCUAAGUCAGACGUGAAAUCCCUCAGCUUAACUGGGGAACUGCGUCUGAUACUGGCGAGCUUGAGUGCAGGAGAGGAACGCGGAAUUCCAGGUGUAGCGGUGAAAUGCGUAGAUAUCAAGAGGAACACCUGAGGUGAAGACGGGUUGCUGGGCUGACACUGACGCUGAGGCGCGAAAGCUAGGGUAGCAAACGGG
rnacentral:rRNA from 1 species